rnacentral:rRNA from 1 species
GACGAACCGAGCGAACGUUAUUCGGAAUCACUGGGCUUAAAGGGCGCGUAGGCGGGCCGCCAAGUCAGGGGUGAAAGCCCCCAGCUCAACUGGGGAAGUGUCUUUGAUACUGGCGGUCUCGAGGGGGAUAGGGGCGUGCGGAACUUCCGGUGGAGCGGUGAAAUGCGUAGAUAUCGGAAGGAACACCGGUGGCGAAAGCGGCGCGCUGGAUCCCUUCUGACGCUGAGGCGCGAAAGCCAGGGGAGCGAACGGG